CAGAUAACUAAAAGCUCAAGAGAUGCCCAGCAAAGAACUGAUCAAGAAUCUGGAUAAGGAGAUUGAACAACAGAAGGUCUUGGAAGAAGCAAAGGGGACACCUCAUGGAAUUCUGUGAACUGGAACUACUGAACUGUGUUUCACCAGUACCUUUUUCUCCUGUAACAUGUUUACUUGUUUGUCUAUAUGUGUGUGUUUGGGAUUAAGAAGGAGAUUAAAGUUUUGGCUGGUAGAGUUA